rnacentral:rRNA from 1 species
GAUGAACGCUGGCGGCGUGCCUAAUACAUGCAAGUCGAGCGAACAGACGAGGAGCUUGCUCCUCUGACGUUAGCGGCGGACGGGUGAGUAACACGUGGAUAACCUACCUAUAAGACUGGGAUAACUUCGGGAAACCGGAGCUAAUACCGGAUAACAUGUUGAACCGCAUGGUUCAACAGUGAAAGACGGUUUUGCUGUCACUUAUAGAUGGAUCCGCGCCGCAUUAGCUAGUUGGUAAGGUAACGGCUUACCAAGGCAACGAUGCGUAGCCGACCUGAGGGGGUGAUCGGCCACACUGGAACUGAGACACGGUCCAGACUCCUACGGGAGGCAGCAGUAGGGAAUCUUCCGCAAUGGGCGAAAGCCUGACGGAGCAACGCCGCGUGAGUGAAGAAGGUCUUCGGAUCGUAAAACUCUGUUAUUAGGGAAGAACAAAUGUGUAAGUAACUAUGCACGUCUUGACGGUACCUAAUCAGAAAGCCACGGCUAACUACGUG